CCUUUUAUUUGUUGUCAGUUACGGUCCGUUGUGGUUACCGCACGCGUACCCCUUACCAGGUCUUGACAUCCUCUGACAACCCUAGAGAUAGGGCUUCUCCUUCGGGAGCAGAGUGACAGGUGGUGCAUGGUUGUCGUCAGCUCGUGUCGUGAGAUGUUGGGUUAAGUCCCGCAACGAGCGCAACCCUUGAUCUUAGUUGCCAUCAUUAAGUUGGGCACUCUAAGGUGACUGCCGGUGACAACCCGGAGGAAGGUGGGGAUGACGUCAAAUCAUCAUGCCCCUUAUGACCUGGGCUACACACGUGCUACAAUGGACGGUACAAAGAGCUGCAAGACCGCGAGGUGGAGCUAAUCUCAUAAAACCGUUCUCAGUUCGGAUUGUAGGCUGCAACUCGCCUACAUGAAGCUGGAAUCGCUAGUAAUCGCGGAUCAGCAUGCCGCGGUGAAUACGUUCCCGGGCCUUGUACACACCGCCAGUGACACACAUAUGUUUUGAGUAUACACUCCGAGUGUACGCUCAUUUUUGCUGAGAGAAACGGUGGAUGCUUCAUCCC
rnacentral:rRNA from 1 species